UGGCGGAGGGGAGUAACGCGUGAGCAAUCUGCCUUACACAAAGGGAUAGCCUCGGGAAACCGGGAUUAAUACCAUAUGAUAUCUAUUAACCGCAUGGUUUAUAGAUUAAAGAAUUUCGGUGUAAGAUGAGCUCGCGUCCCAUUAAUUAGUUGGUGAGGGUAACGGCCCACCAAGAUAGCGAUGGGUAGCCGAUCUAAGAGGAUGACCGGCCACAUUGGAACUGAGAAACGGUCCAAACUCCUACGGGAGGCAGCAGUGGGGAAUAUUGCACAAUGGGGGAAACCCUGAUGCAGCGACGCCGCGUGAGCGAUGAAGGCUUUCGAGUCGUAAAGCUCUGUCCUAUGGGAAGAUAAUGACGGUACCAUAGAAGAAAGCCCCGGCUAAUUACGUGCCAGCAGCCGCGGUAAUACGUAAGGGGCGAGCGUUGUCCGGAAUUAUUGGGCGUAAAGAGUGCGUA
rnacentral:rRNA from 1 species